rnacentral:rRNA from 1 species
AGUGAACGCUGGCGGUAGGCCUAACACAUGCAAGUCGAACGGCAGCACAGUAAGAGCUUGCUCUUACGGGUGGCGAGUGGCGGAUGGGUGAGGAAUACAUCGGAAUCUACUUUUUCGUGGGGGAUAACGUAGGGAAACUUACGCUAAUACCGCAUAUGACCUACCGUUGAAAUCAUUGGAUCUUCGGACCUUUCGCGAUUGAAUGAGCCGAUGUCGGAUUAGCUAGUUGGCGGGGUAAAGGCCCACCAAGGCGACGAUCCGUAGCUGGUCUGAGAGGAUGAUCAGCCACACUGGAACUGAGACACGGUCCAGACUCCUACGGGAGGCAGCAGUGGGGAAUAUUGGACAAUGGGCGAAAGCCUGAUCCAGCCAUACCGCGUGGGUGAAGAAGGCCUUCGGGUUGUAAAGCCCUUUUGUUGGGGAAGAAAAGCAGCAGGUUAAUACCCCGCUGUUCUGACGGUACCCAAAGAAUAAGCACCGGCUAACUUCGUG